rnacentral:rRNA from 1 species
GUAACCUGCCCUUGACUCUGGGAUAAGCCCGGGAAACUGGGUCUAAUACCGGAUAGGAGCGCCUGUCGCAUGACGGGUGCUGGAAAGAUCUUUCGGUCAUGGAUGGACUCGCGGCCUAUCAGCUUGUUGGUGAGGUAACGGCUCACCAAGGCGACGACGGGUAGCCGGCCUGAGAGGGUGACCGGCCACACUGGGACUGAGACACGGCCCAAACUCCUACGGGAGGCAGCAGUGGGGAAUAUUGCACAAUGGGCGAAAGCCUGAUGCAGCGACGCCGCGUGAGGGAUGACGGCCUUCGGGUUGUAAACCUCUUUCAGCAGGGAAGAAGCGAAAGUGACGGUACCUGCAGAAGAAGCACCGGCUAACUACGUGCCAGCAGCCGCGGUAAUACGUAGGGUGCGAGCGUUAUCCGGAAUUAUUGGGCGUAAAGAGCUCGUAGGCGGUUUGUCACGUCUGUCGUGAAAGUCCGGGGCUUAACCCCGGAUCUGCGGUGGGUACGGGCAGACUACAGUGCAGUAGGGGAGACUGGAAUUCCUGGUGUAGCGGUGGAAUGCGCAGAUAUCAGGAGGAACACCGAUGGCGAAGGCAGGUCUCUGGGCUGUAACUGACGCUGAGGAGCGAAAGCAUGGGGAGCGAACAGGAUUAGAUACCCUGGUAGUCCAUGCCGUA